UCCCUUAUUAUGGGACAGAUGGAGUAUAUAUAUAAGCAAGCUCGUCUUCACACUCAUGAGGCCUCUCAUUCACUUUCUUGCAUAGUGUCAUCUUGAAGAUAUAUGACGAAAAGGGUAAGUCAGGACUCAGGUGGAGAUCCUUGCUUCAACAAAUCUUUGACUCCCUGAAGGUCAACAACUGUGGGAGCCACGACAGAGCCAUCCUUGUCAAAAGAUCGAUCUGGCUUCUCA
rnacentral:lncRNA from 1 species